GAAAAUUAUACAAAUUCUAGGUUUAGAAAUAUAAAAUUAAAAGAGUUAGCCCCAAAAGCCACAAACUCAGGGCUAAGCCCUGCCGCCAGGAAUAACAGGCCAUAAAGAUAAAGAAAAGGAAUGCAGGAUCCAGCUCAGGCUAUCGAGGACUGACCCAUAAACCAUCCAAAGACGUCCCCCCAGCUUACUCAGAGUCAUACUUUAACCAGAUGUCCUCCAGACCCUGAUAAGCCCCUACUUGUGCUUUUCAGCCAUUGUGUCCUGCAGAGAGCACUCCAAGAAACCGGACAGCCCAAGCCUAACCAGAGGUGUUUCAAAUACAAAUGCUCCAUCAGUUUUGACAAACGUUUAAAAAUAAUGAGGACCUGAAGACCCUACCCUUCUCCUGAUUUAGUAGCUCUGUUCCAGGAACCAGGGGGCCAUAAAACCUUCUGGCGUCCCCUUAUCUCCUGGAGCCAUAAAACAAUCUUGUAACUUGUGGUACAUUCCCCUUUGACAUCCCCCAUCCCCUGGUGCUCACAGCCUCUGCCUUUAAAUACUCUUUUUCCCAGCCUCUCGGGGUCGACACCUCUGUCUCCUGCGUGGGAUAUGUGUCGGCCCGGAGAUCUCUGUAAUAGGUCUCCGUAAUAAACCUCGCCUUUGCUUAUUACAUCCAAAAUGGUCUCUCUGUGUCUGGGGUCCGCGAUUUCCCAAGACUUGAGUAAGGGUCUCUCUGCGUGGGAUCUUUCAUAUUUAUGGGGGCUCGUCCGGGAUCUGCGCGACUACCCCAGACUCCGAAGACCCCUUGGAGGUGAGUUGGAUGUUUGUCUGAGUGUUUCUGUGUGAGCGGCGCCGCAAUUGUCAGUCUGUGUCUGUCUCUGUUUUGGUUCCGCCGUGUGUGUAUAUAUGUGUGUCUUAGUACUGGUCAGUGUUAAGAGGGCAGAUGGGUAUUCCUGCCCUGUGUUAAGAGGGCAGAUGGGUGUUCCUGCCUUGUGCUAAGAGGGUGGAUGUGUAUUCCUGCCCUGUGCUAGGAGGGUGGAUGUGUAUUCCUGCCCUGUAGGAGAGUGGAUGUGUAUCCCCACUCAUGCAGCUGCCUUUGUGGUCCGUGAGGACCCCCUGGCUGCGGAAGGGGGGACGCCCCGGGCCCGCAAGGCUGCAGCCCCUGGAAGACGUUCCACGGGCGGAGAACAGUCGGGAGAGCCCGACUAUGGACAGUCAGGAGGACCUGACUCUGGUUUUCUGGAACAAAGGAGAUGGAAUGCUCCUUUUACCUAGGCGGGAGUGGACGAGGAAUCCCACUCCGUCAGAGGUCGAGUUCGGCUGCCUAUUUAAAUAUAGGCACGGACAAGUGUGCUUAGUCGUUAGGACAAGAGGACACUCUGGAAUCCUGUUGGGAGGUGGAAUCAGAUGGUCCAUCUCAUCCCAAAAGCAGCUAAGGUUAAGCUGCAGUUUGGGCCACGUACUGAAGGCUAAAAGACCUACAGGUGAUACAGAAAGAAAUCUGCUCACAGCUGACAGCAGCCUAUGCCCCGGAGACCCCUGAGACAUCCCAUCAGUUCCAGGUCGGAAGCAGCUACACUGAGCCCAGACACUCGAUCCUCGCUGGAAAGGACCAUACCUGGUGCUGCUGACCACCCUGACAGCCGUCAAUUCUCAGCCCUCACCAGCCGUGUACUAGCUGUUAGGGCUGAGAGCUGGGACCUAGAGAGAAAUUCAGUCAUGUUUGUCCUGGGUUCCAUCGAGAUAGGUGUGGGGAUAGGCUUGAUUUCUAUUACAAAUAAUGUAACAUUACAUAUGUUAGUACUCCUAACACUUCUUGGGACUGUGCCUCAGGGAUCACAACCUAUAUAAGUUUAGAAGUUCUGAAAGACAGUCAUGACCUUGGUGUAUAGGUUCAGAUAGUGUCCAGAUUGGAAUCCUGAUGCUAAAGACUUAGUAAGAGACAAAAAAAAGGAGUUGAGAAUUACUUAGGGCUAGGGCUAUCUAGGUGCUACAAGGGCAGCACAAGGACAUCUGCUGUUGCCCUACAAUACAAGGCUUAUAGAGAAUUCAGAACUGCCAUUGACUCAGAUAUAAAAAGAGUAAAAGACUUUUUAGCUGACCUCCAAGAAUACCUAACUUCCCUCUCAGAGGUAGUCCUUCAAAAUAAGAAAAGAUCAGACCUGAUAUUCCUUAAAGAAGGAAUCUGUGUGCUACACUGAAAGAAAAAUGUUGCUUCUAUACAGACCAUUCAGGAGUAAUUAAAGACUCCAUAAAUAAACUUAAAAAAAGGUUAGACAAAAGACAGACAGACAGAAAAACACAUCAGAGAUAGUUCGAGAGCUAGUUUAGUAGAUCUCCCUGGAUGACUACCCUACUCUCUGCUACAGCUGGGCCAUUAUUAAUAAUUUUCUUGGUUUUAGUUUUUGGCUCCUGCGUGACAAACAGGUUAAUUGCUUUUGUUAAAAAUUGAGUGGGUGCUGUGCGGUUGAUGGUCCUGAGACAACAGUACCAGUCAGUUAGGACAACUGGUGAGACCAAAUAAGACUUGAUAUCAAAAUUCUAAGAUUAGAAUUAUUUAGUAGGAGAAGACGGGAAUGAAAAGAAAAUUAUACAAAUUCUAGGUUUAGAAAUAUAAAAUUAAAAGAGUUAGCCCCAAAAGCCACAAACUCAGGGCUAAGCCCUGCCGCCAGGAAUAACAGGCCAUAAAGAUAAAGAAAAGGAAUGCAGGAUCCAGCUCAGGCUAUCGAGGACUGACCCAUAAACCAUCCAAAGACGUCCCCCCAGCUUACUCAGAGUCAUACUUUAACCAGAUGUCCUCCAGACCCUGAUAAGCCCCUACUUGUGCUUUUCAGCCAUUGUGUCCUGCAGAGAGCACUCCAAGAAACCGGACAGCCCAAGCCUAACCAGAGGUGUUUCAAAUACAAAUGCUCCAUCAGUUUUGACAAACGUUUAAAAAUAAUGAGGACCUGAAGACCCUACCCUUCUCCUGAUUUAGUAGCUCUGUUCCAGGAACCAGGGGGCCAUAAAACCUUCUGGCGUCCCCUUAUCUCCUGGAGCCAUAAAACAAUCUUGUAACUUGUGGUACAUUCCCCUUUGACAUCCCCCAUCCCCUGGUGCUCACAGCCUCUGCCUUUAAAUACUCUUUUUCCCAGCCUCUCGGGGUCGACACCUCUGUCUCCUGCGUGGGAUAUGUGUCGGCCCGGAGAUCUCUGUAAUAGGUCUCCGUAAUAAACCUCGCCUUUGCUUAUUACAUCCAAAA